UGGGGAAUUUUGGACAAUGGGCGCAAGCCUGAUCCAGCCAUGCCGCGUGCGGGAAGAAGGCCUUCGGGUUGUAAACCGCUUUUGUCAGGGAAGAAACGCUCCGGGCCAAUACCUCGGAGUAAUGACGGUACCUGAAGAAUAAGCACCGGCUAACUACGUGCCAGCAGCCGCGGUAAUACGUAGGGUGCAAGCGUUAAUCGGAAUUACUGGGCGUAAAGCGUGCGCAGGCGGCUUUGCAAGACAGAUGUGAAAUCCCCGGGCUCAACCUGGGAACUGCAUUUGUGACUGCAUGGCUGGAGUGCGGCAGAGGGGGAUGGAAUUCCGCGUGUAGCAGUGAAAUGCGUAGAUAUGCGGAGGAACACCGAUGGCGAAGGCAAUCCCCUGGGCCUGCACUGACGCUCAUGCACGAAAGCGUGGGGAGCAAACA
rnacentral:rRNA from 1 species